rnacentral:rRNA from 1 species
CAGCAGCCGCGGUAAUACGUAGGUGGCAAGCGUUGUCCGGAAUUAUUGGGCGUAAAGGGCUCGCAGGCGGUUUCUUAAGUCUGAUGUGAAAGCCCCCGGCUCAACCGGGGAGGGUCGUUGGAAACUGGGAAACUUGAGUGCAGAAGAGGAGAGUGGAAUUCCACGUGUAGCGGUGAAAUGCGUAGAGAUGUGGAGGAACACCAGUGGCGAAGGCGACGCUCUGGUCUGUAACUGACGCUGAGGAGCGAAAGCGUGGGGAGCGAACAGGAUUAGAUACCCCCGUAGUCCCUGUCUCUUAUAC